CCGACACAGGUAGGUGAGGAGAGAAUCCUAAGGCCGACGGGAGAAGCAUUGUUAAGGAACUCGGCAAAAUGACUCCGUAACUUCGGGAGAAGGAGUGCCAGUGAGAGCUGGCCGCAGAGAAUUGGCCCAAGCAACUGUUUAGCAAAAACACAGGUCUAUGCGAAACCGAAAGGUGAGGUAUAUGGGCUGACGCCUGCCCGGUGCUGGAAGGUUAAG
rnacentral:rRNA from 17 species